CAAGGGUUCCUGUCCAACGUUAAUCGGGGCAGGGUGAGUCGACCCCUAAGGCGAGGCCGAAAGGCGUAGUCGAUGGGAAACAGGUUAAUAUUCCUGUACUCGGUGUUACUGCGAAGGGGGGACGGAGAAGGCUAGGCUAUCCGGGCGACGGUUGUCCCGGUUUAAGCGUGUAGGGGGUGUGACUUGGUAAAUCCGGUCGCAUAUCAACCCUGAGGCGUGAUGACGAGUCACUACGGUGAUGAAGUAGUUGAUGCCAAGCUUCCAGGAAAAGCCUCUAAGCUCUAGGUAACAUUGAAUCGUACCCCAAACCGACACAGGUGGUCAGGUAGAGAAUACCAAGGCGCUUGAGAGAACUCGGGUGAAGGAACUAGGCAAAAUGGUGCCGUAACUUCGGGAGAAGGCACGCUGGCGCGUAGGUGAAGUCCCUUGCGGAUGGAGCUGAAGCCAGUCGAAGAUACCAGCUGGCUGCAACUGUUUAAUAAAAACACAGCACUGUGCAAACACGAAAGUGGACGUAUACGGUGUGACGCCUGCCCGGUGCUGGAAGGUUAAUUGAUGGGGUCAGCCGCAAGGCGAAGCUCUUGAUCGAAGCCCC
rnacentral:rRNA from 1 species